rnacentral:rRNA from 1 species
UACGUAGGGGGCAAGCGUUGUCCGGAAUUACUGGGCGUAAAGAGCGUGUAGGCGGCCAGGUAGGUCUGGUGUGAAAACUCGAGGCUUAACCUCGAGAUGUCAUCGGAAACCAUUUGGCUAGAGUCCGGAAGAGGAAAGUGGAAUUCCUGGUGUAGCGGUGAAAUGCGCAGAUAUCAGGAAGAACACCAAUGGCGAAAGCAGCUUUCUGGGACGGUACUGACGCUGAGACGCGAAAGCGUGGGGAGCGAACAGG